GCCAGCCGCUGAGGGGCGCCGGGCCCGCGCGCGCGCACGCACGCACGCACGCGGGGGCGGGGGCAGGCGCGCGCCCGCCUGUCGCGACAGUCGGGGCCGAGGCCCAGGGGGAGGUGGCCUGUCGCGGGUCGCCCGGCUCCCGGAGGCGAGGGGGGCGCGGGCGGAUGGCGGAAGGCGCCCAGCCGCAGCAGCCGCCUCAGCUCGGGCCCGGCGCCGCUGCCCGGGGGAUGAAGCGGGAGUCGGAGCUGGAGCUGCCGGUGCCCGGAGGGGGAGGAGACGGAGCCGAGCCCGGCCUGAGCAAGCGGCCGCGCACCGAGGAGGCGGUGGCCGACGGCGGCGGCGGGAUGCAGAACGAGCCUCUGACCCAAGGUUAUCAUGGAUUCCCAGCACGGGACAGCCAGGGUAACCAGGAGCCAACAACAACUCCUGACGCAAUGGUUCAGCCUUUUACUACUAUCCCGUUUCCACCACCUCCACAGAAUGGAAUUCCCACAGAAUAUGGAGUGCCACACACUCAGGACUAUGCCGGCCAGACCAGUGAGCAUAACCUGACACUCUACGGAAGUACGCAAUCCCACGGGGAGCAGAGUAGCAACUCACCCAGCACACAAAACGGAUCUCUCACGCAGACGGAAGGGGGAGCGCAGACAGAUGGCCAGCAGUCACAGACACAAAGUAGUGAGAACUCAGAGAGCAAAUCCACCCCUAAACGGCUGCAUGUCUCUAAUAUUCCCUUUCGCUUCCGGGACCCCGACCUCCGACAGAUGUUUGGGCAGUUUGGCAAAAUCCUAGAUGUAGAAAUAAUCUUUAAUGAACGUGGCUCUAAGGGAUUCGGGUUCGUAACUUUCGAGAAUAGUGCUGAUGCAGACAGGGCCAGGGAGAAAUUACACGGCACCGUGGUAGAGGGCCGUAAAAUCGAGGUGAAUAAUGCUACAGCGCGUGUAAUGACCAAUAAGAAGAUGGUCACACCAUAUGCAAAUGGUUGGAAAUUAAGCCCCGUAGUUGGAGCUGUAUAUGGCCCUGAGUUAUAUGCAGCAUCCAGCUUUCAAGCAGACGUGUCCCUAGGCAAUGAUGCAGCAGUGCCCCUAUCAGGAAGAGGGGGUAUUAACACUUACAUUCCUUUAAUCAGUCUCCCUUUAGUUCCUGGCUUCCCUUACCCGACUGCAGCCACCACGGCGGCCGCUUUCAGAGGAGCCCAUCUGAGGGGCAGAGGGCGGACGGUAUACGGUGCGGUCCGAGCGGUACCUCCAACAGCCAUUCCCGCCUAUCCAGGGAAACGGAUUAAAAGAGGUUAAUUCAAAGAUGAACCAAGUCCAAUUGAAUCCAGGGAGAAAGGGAGAAGUAGGAAGAAUUAAACUACAGUUGGCUUCUGAAUGAUGUGUGGUUUACCAGGACGGAUUUUACGGUGCUGACCUCUAUGGCGGAUACGCAGCCUACAGAUACGCACAGCCCGCUACUGCGACUGCGGCCACAGCCGCCGCCGCCGCCGCCGCAGCCUACAGCGACGGUUACGGCAGGGUGUACACAGCCGACCCAUACCACGCCCUUGCCCCUGCCGCUAGCUACGGAGUUGGCGCUGUGGCGAGUUUAUACCGAGGUGGCUACAGCCGAUUUGCCCCCUACUGAAGUGACGUGAGACCCUGCAAAUGGGACAGCCCCCCAGUUCAUGAGGCCUGGCUAUUGCAAUAUUUACUAGUAGAGGAACUCUAUAGCAAGAUGAAGAGGAAAAACAAACAAACAAACAAACAAAAAAAAAUACAAAAAAAGAGAAUACUUUUUUAUACCUCACUAUGUUCUUUGAAUAUGUAUUUUUUUCCUUUACAUUUCUGCCUUUAAUUCUUUUGUUCCAAAGAUUGUGCAUUUUUUUCUUUCUUUUUCUUUUUUUUUUUAACUGUGGUAAAAAAAAAAAAAAUAAUGCAUUUCCAUGUCUGUAUGUCCGUGCUUAGCUUAUUCUGUCAAUCACGGAAGAGGCAGUUAAUGAGGAAGGGGAGACCUUAGGAGCUGAUGAAUGCAUGUGAUCAGAAAUCAGCAGACAGAGCUACCAAAGUGUAUCUGGUGCUGAGGGCUGGGGGACGAACAGAAGUGGAGGAGAUCUGUCUGCAACAGGAUAUUCUUCUAGUCUUCUGAGUUUCUGGUCUUCGGCAGGCAGUUCUGCUUGGCUCUUGCUGGAAUCCACAUGCUGAUAGAUGACAGGAGUUUGUGCUUGCAAAGCAGGAGGACUGAAAAGACACUUUCCUCUCCUCUUCCCUCCUGUCUUCUCCAUUCUUUUUACAAUCAUCUUAACCCGCACAGCCUGAGACCGUUGGCAUCGUUUUUGGAAUUAUAAUAUUAAUAUUUCCAAACAUGCUCUCAGACUGUGGAUAAUAAACACCUCAUUAGGAAACCGAUCUCAGAAUGAACUCUGGAGUGUGAAAAAGAUCAUUCUUUUCUUUCCUGAGAUCCUAGCAUUCCUGCUGGGCUUCUUCCCCUUUCUCUGAACCACAGCUUAGCUCAUCUAUCCUUCUAUAAACUCCCUACUCCCAAGUCCUCAAGAGUCAGGAAUUUAGGACCCAGGGACAGGAGAAUAAAUAGCGACCAGAUCUCCCGGCUUGAGGGUUUAGAAGUACGAAGCGUUGGGAGCCAGUAAAGAGGGUAAGGAAGAGAAAAGGGGUAUCAGAUGAUGUCUGGCAGGGCUCUGAUAUUCCUGUGCUUUCUCUUGCAUCAGGAGGUCAGUACAAGGUAUGAAACAUAUGGAGAGUGUUGGCAAAAGAUAAAGCUCCGAGUCCCGGGGCGGCUGUCCCUGGAAGUUUGUGGUGAUUGGGGCAUGUGAGGGCAGGCAAAGGCACUUUGUACUAACUAGCUCCAAAGCCAUAGGAAUUCCCAUCUUCCAGAGCAUUCUGUGAGCCACUUCUCUGUCCAUGGUUUUGAGCUCUCGUGGCCACUCCGCCCGGCUUCUCAUUUUCCUCCAAAGACACCCAGCCGAGCACCGACUGCUUGGCAUACAUGAACACUACAGGAGAUAAAACCCAGAGCCCCUGAGGCUCCUCCCCUCCCCUAGUGGAAGGAGGGUGUGUCCUGGCAAGGAUCUCACAUGUUGCCAGGAAGAGUCGUGUUGUGACCACAGCGGUGAGUCACUGCUGUGGCUGCCUGGCUUUGAUUUUAUACAUAUUGACAAGGCAGGGGAGAAGGUGUUUCUCUUCUAGCUAUUAGCUGUUAAUGAUAAAGGCAAGGGUCCUGCAGCAUUUCCAAAAUGACGGCAUUAGAAAACAGAAAAGCACGGUCUGUUUGGCUCCCUGGUCUAUUCACAUUGGUACUAGGGUGACCUCUCACCCAAGGGAUAGCUGCUAAAGGGAGUAAUUCAGAGACAUGGAGCUUCUGGUUUGUUAUGGGUUUGUUUUCCGUUUGUUUUGUUGUUGUUGUUUUUUUUUUUCUUUUUUUUACUCCUGCCUCCACACGUGUUCUUGACUGAUAACUGAUUCAUGUCCCUGAAUUAAAAUGACUGACAUAUGACAGCAUCAAGCAUUCUUUGUAAGCAGAGUGAUCUGUCCGGGAGGGACUGGCCUAUUGUGUAAAAUACCUAUCUUCUCCCCCUGUAAAACCUUCUCUCUCCUGAUGACUGGGAGGAGAGGCUGUGCCUGAAACGAGGGGAGACAUCAAUGAAGCUAGAGGCCUCGAUGCAAUCUUACUAAUUCUGGGGAGGAAUGCAUGGAAUACGGGACGCCAAACUGCCUGGGGCCAUUGGCCAUUUGUAAGGGUUCCCCUCCCCAAGCCAAAGUUUGUUUUCGUUGCUGUUAAGACAAUUUUUUUUGUAUGUAUAUAAAUAUUUUAGUUAGAGGAAGGGGUAUAGGAUGUGGGGCUUUCACAGUUCUAGAGAAUGGGGGCAGGGAGGAUUUUUUUUCUUUCGCUUUUGUUUUGAGGGAGAGCUUUUACUCACUAAAGAAACAGAGAAAUUUCCUGUCAUGUUCAAAUAGGGGCCAUUCACAGAAAUGGCAAGCCACUGCUCAGUGGAGAUAAGGCCAAAUUUUAAAUGGUUGUGUCUGUAGCAGGGGAGGAGAAUCGGGGAAUGAGUUUAGUAAUUUUCUCUUCUUUUUUCCAAGAAAGAGACAAGGAUGGUGGGCAAGGUAGAGAGGGCAGCUCCCACUGCCCUUUUAAAAGAGGCAGAAGCUCGAGCUUGGGCUACCUUUACUGCAGUUCAGUUCAGCUGGUUCUGGCUGAGGACUCCAUAGGCAAGCUCUGUGCAUCCUGCUGCAUUUCCAGGGAUGGUUGUAAUCCGGCUUCCUCUAGUUCCCUUUUCUAAGGAAGGCUGAGCAGACUUCCGCUUUCACUCAAGGGCCUCGGGCUCUUCAGCAUCAGCACCGAGAAUUGGAGCUCUCGUGAGCACCUAGAUGAGAUUGUAGCUGCCCCCCCAUCCCCUUUUGAACUCUGAGACUCCGUACAGCCAGCUUCAUCAGAGGCAGGUUCCUCAAAGCACCAGUGCUUGUCUGCUCCUGGCUCUGGUUCCCACUGGACUAAGAAACAGAGUCGGAAGAGAGUUUGGCAUCUGUGGGUUCGUUAGAGGAUGCUGGUUGGUGAUUCCAAAAAACACUGAUGCUGAAUCCCAGCACGUGAAUGAUUUCCACAGCUUUACUGUAGCUCAUGACGUGAACUUCUGUACUUAGCGUCUUACUCCUAGAAGCUGGGCUCUUUUAAGGAGACUGCUAGUGAAAACCUUUAUCUCCUAACCCCUUUUCAGCCAGGAGAGCUGCCCUUAGGUCUUUUCUGGAAUCCCUUGUGUUCCAUGGUUCAGCUCCCGAAACCCCUGGCUCAACUAUUGUGACUCAUCUUUUUUAAGGCUCUCAGGUUUUCCCGAACUUCCCAUCACCACCAUCCUCUGACAACCGCAGGUGGGACUGAGCCAAUGUUAUUUUUCCUUGAAAAAGAAGGAGACUGGGACUCACCUCUUCGUUUAAGGGGAGCUAGUGGAGAUUAUUCAAUAAAAACCAGUGGUAGCAGCUUUUCCUCAAAAGUCUUACUCCUCAGGGGCUGAACUGCUCUUACUUUAGGUUCCCGUUCCUAGCGAUGUAGCAGACAAGUAGGUGAGCACCACCCCCAUCACCAAUCACUUAGCUUCCAGGUGGGAGGGAGGUGUAAACUCGGGAUUGAAGCCGCCCUGAUGAUCUGCCAGAAGGGCUACCUUACUCCCCUUCCCUCGGACAGGAGAAUGGGGCCAAGCCAGGGCCCCUCUGGAAGGCAUGCCAGCCAGGAGGGGGAGGGAAACUGCUCACGCCCUUCCCUCUCACCAAGUCCAGCCUCCUCCGCUGCUUGCAACCUCUAGCACGGUAACGUUUGCAGAAUUGCAGACUCCCCCCCCUCCCCAUGAUAGGAAGAAAGGGACUUUGGGGGGUGGGGAAGGGAUAGUGGUGUUUUAAAAAGCAUAAAGUUACCUGUUUGCACUGUUUUAAGAUAGGAGAAAAGAAUAGUGGGCAAGAUGAACAUCAGACGUAAAUUUGUGUGUUUUUAUUUUGUCAUGCUCUUGAAAAUGUCUGACCAUUUGUAGUAUAUAACACCAGUGAGACUCGGUUCUGUUACAUAAAACACUAAAAUUUUUUUUCUUUUUUGGGUAAUGUUACGUCCAGAAGCCUCUUUCCUCCCUUUCCCUGUGUACUUCCUCCACACUUGCUUUACUGAUCAACCAGGCAAUAGCCAUCCAAGAGCUCGAGCAUGAAGCGGGGCCCUUUCCAAGUAGGCUCCAGCAGUCCUAAGCCAGUGCACUCCCCCUGGUCUAGUAAGCGCAGUGGAGUCCCUGGCACCUGGCUUUAAAACAAGGCUUACAGACCAGCCUAUGGCAAGUUCUGCAGUGCCCAAAGUAGACGCGCUAGGAACGAGGAGCUGAGGGCAGAGGGGAUUCCUCAAGUGACCCAAGUCGGCUGUUGUAGCGGUUCUUAACCCACGUUACCGCAACUGUAGCCAGUUACAGUUUACUCAGGAAAACGGGAGAUCAAUUCAGCCAUGGUGGUGCUGGUUGGCAGGGAUUGGUAACCGAGAGAACUGCUCAUCAGCCAAAACUCAGACCUUGCCUUUAAGGAGACUGCCAGCAGGGGGACCCGGUGCGGACGCGGGGGGCGGGGGGCUCCCUUGGUCACACUCGCAAGCAAAAAGGGAAUGUCAGUUCUCUUUACCCCCCCCCCCCGCUCCCCUCUCCCCCGUUACCAACAUCAGAUUCCCAGGGGGUCCGUGCGGUUUUGACUUUUUAAAAAGUGACUUUUGGUUUGGUUUUACUGGGGACUGAUAAGUGCUUUAAGCAACGUCUACACCCCAUUGAGACUCCCAGCUUAGCCAUUUUCUUGUAUUUUUCUGUUCACAGUAUUUUCGUGUGUGUGUGCUUGUUCUGGCAGCUGAUUUUGGCUGUAUUAUAUAUCAAAGAGUGAUGAAUUGAUCCUCUUUUUUCCCUAAGGGAUAUGAAUUGUUUUUUUUUUUGUUUUGUUUUGUUUUGUUUUUCUUGUGUUAUAAUUCUGCUUGUGAAUAGCUGGAGCAAACCUGGGGCUUGACACACGUAAGCUAGGGCUGCAAAGUGCUGACAGGGCCGGUGGAGUUGACUUGUCCCUGACAGGCUGACCUACCUGUGUCUCUGAGCUUUUCAGCCCAAAUCUUUGCAAGGCUAAAAAUGCCACAGAACCUCUCCUCUCCUCCCCACUCCCCAUGGCAGGGACUGGACCAUCCCAACAUGCGACAUGCAGCUUCUCCAGCCCCCUCCCAUUGCCAUGGCAAAACAGGUACCUUUGGGGCAUGGGGGCAUCACAUGGGAUGCUUGUAUAAUUGACCACCUCGCCUUCUCUCCCCACCCCCCACCCCAGAGUCACUUCCUAGGACACCCGAGCUGCUUGCCCAGGGUCCUGUUUCCCUGCGAACUCCGGAGAAGCACCCCCGGGCUUUGUGACAGCCUCUAACUCCCUCCCCUUCUUGUUAAGAAUCCUAUUGUAUAGUAGCUUUCAGACCAUACAGUAUUCAUUGGGUUACUCCUAUUAUUAUCAAGUAGCUGGAAUUGUGAAGGUCGGAGUAGUUAGAUCUUUAGCUUUUAUUCCUUAUUUUUUUGUAUUACUAUCCAUGUGUAUAAAUUAUUGAUCAUGUUGCUGGCUUUUAUAAACUCCAAGCGAAGGAGGAGUGCCGCCUCUGCCUUUGCAAACGGUAAUGAAGCACUGUUUUUAAAUAAACGAGAGAAACACCGUU